UGUGGGUUAGAAGAGAGAGAGAGUAAAACAUAUUUAAUAAAUACUUUUUUUUGAAAUAAAAAUAACAAGCUAUCAGUUUCAUUCAUUAAAAAAAUAAAUUAGACUACAAACAAAGAUAAAAUAACACAAAGGCUUCAAAUAAGAUGGGCGGGAAAAAAAAAAUUGUUGGGUACUACUACUUGUCGGUUUUAUUUGAAUGUAUUAUUCUUUUUCUUAGCAAGUAAUGUGAUCAAAUUUCAUGAUAGAAUAUUUUAUUAAGCCUUUAAAUUAUUUUUUUCAAAAUAAUAUAAAUUAUUUUGUAUAUUAGGUUUGUUAUUUUAUUAAAUUAUAAAUUUCAAAAUCUUUUAAAUCGUACAAAAUUAAACUUUUAACUUUCAAUCAUACCAAAAAAAAAUAAAAU
rnacentral:lncRNA from 1 species